rnacentral:rRNA from 1 species
GGUUACUGCUAUCGGUGUUCGUCUAAGCCAUGCGAGUCAUAUGUAGCAAUACAUGGCGUACUGCUCAGUAACACGUGGAUAACCUGCCCUUGGGUCCGGCAUAACCCCGGGAAACUGGGGAUAAUUCCGGAUAACGCACAUAUGCUGGAAUGCUUUAUGCGUGAAAUGGAUUCGUCUGCCCAAGGAUGGGUCUGUGGCCUAUCAGGUAGUAGUGGGUGUAAUGUACCUACUAGCCUACGACGGGUACGGGUUGUGAGAGCAAGAGCCCGGAGAUGGAUUCUGAGACAUGAAUCCAGGCCCUACGGGGCGCAGCAGGCGCGAAAACUUUACAAUGCGGGAAACCGUGAUAAGGGGACACCGAGUGCCAGCAUCCUAUGCUGGCUGUCCAGGUGUGUAAACUACACCCGUUAGCAAGGGUCGGGCAAGACCGGUGCCAGCCGCCGCGGUAACACCGGCGGCCCGAGUGGUGAUCGUGAUUAUUGGGUCUAAAGGGUCCGUAGCCGGUUUGGUCAGUCCUCCGGGAAAUCUGACAGCUUAACUGUUAGGCUUUCGGAGGAUACUGCCAGACUUGGAACCGGGAGAGGUAAGAGGUACUACAGGGGUAGGAGUGAAAUCUUGUAAUCCCUGUGGGACCACCUGUGGCGAAGGCGUCUUACCAGAACGGGUUCGACGGUGAGGGACGAAAGCUGGGGGCACGAACCGGAUUAGAUACCCGGGUAGUCCCAGCCGU